UACGGGGGGGGCAAGCGUUGUUCGGAAUUACUGGGCGUAAAGGGCCCGUAGGCGGCCAACUAAGUCGGACGUGAAAUCCCUCGGCUUAACCGGGGAACUGCGUCCGAUACUGGAUGGCUUGAGUUUGGGAGAGGGAUGCGGAAUUCCAGGUGUAGCGGUGAAAUGCGUAGAUAUCUGGAGGAACACCGGUGGCGAAGGCGGCAUCCUGGACCAAUACUGACGCUGAGGAGCGAAAGCCAGGGGAGCAAACGGG
rnacentral:rRNA from 1 species